UACGUAGGGUGCAAGCGUUGUCCGGAAUUAUUGGGCGUAAAGAGCUCGUAGGCGGCCUGUUACGUCUGCUGUGAAAUCCCGGGGCUUAACCCCGGGCGUGCAGUGGAUACGGGCAGGCUGGAGGCAGGCAGGGGAGAACGGAAUUCCCGGUGUAGCGGUGAAAUGCGCAGAUAUCGGGAGGAACACCGGUGGCGAAGGCGGUUCUCUGGGCCGUUACUGACGCUGAGGAGCGAAAGCGUGGGGAGCGAACAGG
rnacentral:rRNA from 1 species